rnacentral:rRNA from 1 species
GAUGAACGGCUGGCGGCGUAGCCUAACACAUGCAAGUCGAGCGAUCUUCUUCGGAAGAGAGCGGCGGACGGGUGAGUAACGCGUGGGUAACCUGCCUCAUACACAUGGAUAACAUACCGAAAGGUAUGCUAAUACAAGAUGAUAUAAGAGAUUCGCAUGGAUUUCUUAUCAAAGCUUUUGCGGUAUGAGAUGGACCCGCGUCUGAUUAGCUAGUUGGUAAGGUAAUGGCUUACCAAGGCGACGAUCAGUAGCCGACCUGAGAGGGUGAUCGGCCACAUUGGAACUGAGACACGGUCCAAACUCCUACGGGAGGCAGCAGUGGGGAAUAUUGCACAAUGGGCGAAAGCCUGAUGCAGCAACGCCGCGUGAGCGAUGAAGGCCUUCGGGUCGUAAAGCUCUGUCCUCAAGGAAGAUAAUGACGGUACUUGAGGAGGAAGCCCCGGCUAACUACGUG